UACAGAGGGUGCAAGCGUUAAUCGGAAUUACUGGGCGUAAAGGGCGCGUAGGUGGUUGCGUAAGUGAGAUGUGAAAGCCCCGGGCUUAACCUGGGAAUUGCAUCUUAUACUGUGUGACUGGAGUGCAAUAGAGGGUAGUGGAAUUUCCGGUGUAGCGGUGAAAAUGCGUAGAUAUCGGAAGGAACACCAGUGGCGAAGGCGGCUACCUGGAUUGACACUGACACUGAGGCGCGAGAGCGUGGGGGAGCAAACAGG
rnacentral:rRNA from 1 species